rnacentral:rRNA from 1 species
UACAGAGGUCUCAAGCGUUGUUCGGAUUCAUUGGGCGUAAAGGGUGCGUAGGCGGCGCGGUAAGUCGGGUGUGAAAUCGUCGGGCUUAACUCCGAAACUGCAUUCGAUACUGCCGUGCUUGAGGACUGGAGAGGAGACUGGAAUUUACGGUGUAGCGGUGAAAUGCGUAGAUAUCGUAAGGAAGACCAGUGGCGAAGGCGGGUCUCUGGACAGUUCCUGACGCUGGAGGAGCGAAAGCCGUGGGGAGCGAACAGG